GUGGGGAAUUGUUCGCAAUGGGCGCAAGCCUGACGACGCAACGCCGCGUGGAGGAUGAAGAUCUUCGGGUCGUAAACUCCUUUCGAUCGAGACGAAUGGCCCUUGGGUUAAUAGCCUGAGGGAAUGACGGUACCGAGAGAAGAAGCCCCGGCUAACUCCGUGCCAGCAGCCGCGGUAAUACGGGGGGGGCAAGCGUUGUUCGGAAUUACUGGGCGUAAAGGGCUCGUAGGUGGCCAACUAAGUCAGACGUGAAAUCCCUCGGCUUAACCGGGGAACUGCGUCUGAUACUGGAUGGCUUGAGUUUGGGAGAGGGACGCGGAAUUCCAGGUGUAGCGGUGAAAUGCGUAGAUAUCUGGAGGAACACCGGUGGCGAAGGCGGCGUCCUGGACCAAUACUGACACUGAUGAGCGAAAGCCAGGGGAGCAAACGGGAUUAGAAACCCCUGUAGUCC
rnacentral:rRNA from 1 species